AACGAACGCUGGCGGCAGGCUUAACACAUGCAAGUCGAGCGCCCCGCAAGGGGAGCGGCAGACGGGUGAGUAACGCGUGGGAACAUACCCUUUGGUUCGGAAUAACUCAGGGAAACUUGAGCUAAUACCGGAUACGUCCGUAAGGAGAAAGAUUUAUCGCCAAAGGAUUGGCCCGCGUCCGAUUAGCUAGUUGGUGAGGUAACGGCUCACCAAGGCUACGAUCGGUAGCUGGUCUGAGAGGAUGAUCAGCCACAUUGGGACUGAGACACGGCCCAGACUCCUACGGGAGGCAGCAGUGGGGAAUAUUGGACAAUGGGCGAAAGCCUGAUCCAGCAAUGCCGCGUGAGUGAUGAAGGCC
rnacentral:rRNA from 1 species